UACGUAGGGUGCAAGCGUUGUCCGGAUUUACUGGGUUUAAAGGGUGCGCAGGCGGACUGGUAAGUCGGGGAUGAAAUGCAGGGGCUUAACCCCAUGCGCUGUCACCGAUACUGCCAGCCUUGAACAAGUUAGAGGUAACUGGAAUGAGUGGUGUAGCGGUGAAAUGCGUAGAGAUCACUCAGAACACCGAUUGCGAAGGCAGGUUACUAUGGCUUUGUUGACGCUCAGGCACGAAAGCAUGGGGAGCAAA
rnacentral:rRNA from 1 species